AGAGUUUGAUCCUGGCUCAGGACGAACGCUGGCGGCGUGCCUAACACAUGCAAGUCGAGCGGAGACAGUGAGUAGCUUGCUAUGAGCUGUUUUAGCGGCGGACGGGUGAGUAACGCGUGAGCAACCUUUCCCAGACAGGGGAAUAACACACCGAAAGGUGUACUGAUACCGCAUAAGACCACGGGAUCACAUGGUCCUGGGGUAAAAGAUUUAUCGGUUUGGGGUGGGCUCGCGUCCGAUUAGGUAGUUGGUGAGGUAACCGG
rnacentral:rRNA from 1 species